GGCCCGGCGAAGACUGGCUUGUAGUUUGGAUCCUAGUAACGAUCUUGUACUGCAGCGGGUGCGGCAGCUUGUAGCCGGCGAAGAGCACGUUCGGAUCCCGGUGCAGUUGCAUGCGGAGGAUGUUGCCAAAGGUGUGGUCCUCCCGCUCGAUGGUGAAGGAAGCGGCAUUGAUAAUCUUCGUGUCUCUCUCGUGCGAAACCUUUUUUAUGCCAUCGGGGACGACGAAGCGCUCGUAGCGGUCGGGGGCGUUC
rnacentral:misc_RNA from 1 species